rnacentral:rRNA from 1 species
UACGGGAGGCAGCAGUGGGGAAUAUUGCACAAUGGGCGCAAGCCUGAUGCAGCCAUGCCGCGUGUAUGAAGAAGGCCUUCGGGUUGUAAAGUACUUUCAGUCGCGAGGAAGGUGUUAAGGUUAAUAACCUUAGCAAUUGACGUUAGCGACAGAAGAAGCACCGGCUAACUCCGUGCCAGCAGCCGCGGUAAUACGGAGGGUGCGAGCGUUAAUCGGAAUUACUGGGCGUAAAGGGCACGCAGGCGGUUAAUUAAGUUGGAUGUGAAAUCCCCGGGCUUAACCUGGGAAUGGCAUUCAAGACUGGUUAGCUAGAGUCUUGUAGAGGGGGUAGAAUUCCGAUGUGUAGCGGUGAAAUGCGUAGAGAUGUGGAGGAAUACCGGUGGCGAAGGCGGCCCCUGGACAAAGGACUGACGCUCAUGUGCGAAAGCGUGGGGAGCGAAACAGGGAUUAGAUACC